rnacentral:misc_RNA from 1 species
UUUCCGUAGGUGAACCUGCGGAAGGAUCAUUCAUAAUAAAGUGUUUUAUGGCACUUUUUAAAAAUCCAUAUCCACCUUGUGUGCAAUGUUAGAUCUCGUCAAUCUUGGCGAGAUUUUUAUACAUCAACUCAUUUUUUAACUAAUUUGUCUGAAAAAUAUUAUGAAUACUUAAUUCAAAAUACAACUUUCAACAACGGAUCUCUUGGCUCUCGCAUCGAUGAAGAAGGCAGC